rnacentral:tRNA from 1 species
UGAUAAUUAGUUUAAACCAAAACAAGUGAUUUCGACUCACUAAAUU